CGGAUACACUUAAUUAAAAUCUUUAGCAGUGUUCAACGUGUGGCACGUACUUAUAGAUUAAGAAUUUACGAUUCCUUCCUUGACAAUGAAUUUAGUUUAUGGACUAGUAAAGCAUGCAGAACUACAGUCCUAAAAUAAAAUACAAAGAACUUUCACUUAAUAAUUAAUUCUGAACAUGUAUGUACUGCAUCCUGGGGAUUAUUAAUUGAUAGGCUUGUAGGGAUUGUGCUUUAAUUACGGUACACUUUUCUGCCCACCAGUAAAAACAAGUCAGGUCAUAAGCUUUCAAUUAAGACAGAGAUCAAGGUUCUAGCCUCGUUAGUUUGAGAGUAAUCAUAUGACAGGCAUUAGAAUUUUAUAGGUAGACUUUCGGAUUUGGUAAUUAAGGUUAUUGGUUCUUUCAGUUUUGAUCCUUCUGUAUUUACCUACCAUGUAUCUAAUUUCAUUCAUCUCCAAAUGGAAUAUCACUACUAGAAAAGUACUCACAUUUCAGGGUUUUUGAUAUCGGAAGUAAAUGUCAGCUUUCCUUCUCAAUACCCUCCAAACACUUACUUAUGUAAUUGUGAAAAUAUGUCUGGUUUCGAAGACUUUCAGAGAUUAAGAGGUGACAUGAUUGAAGUGGGGAAGGCACAGUGGUGUAGUGGCAGUGCUGCUGCCUCACAGUAAAGUGACUGAGGUUUGCAUCCUGGGUUCUCCCUGCAUGGAGUUUACAUGUCCUGCCAAUGUUUAAUGGGCUUCCUCUGGAUGAUCCAUUUCCUCCAAAACCAUGCAGAUUAUGUGAUUUGGCAGGACUAAAUUGGCCUUAGUUUAUACCCAGUGAUUGUUGGACUUUCACUCAGUCCAGGGUUUGUUCCUGCCUUGUGCCCUGUGCAUGCUGGGAUAGGCUCCAACACCCCCGUGUGAGCCUGCCCUGGAUUAAAUGGGUUAGAAAAUGACACGACAUGGUUGAAAUGUUUAACAUUUUGAAUGAAUGGAGUUAGUACAAUAGGUCUCAGUUGUUACUUUAAAAUAAAUUCUGCAACAAGAACGCAAGGACACAGUUGAAAGCUGGUUAAGAGCAAUUUUCACAAAAAUGUUAGGUUUUUCUUCAGGGAAAGAACCAUAGACCCAAUGAAAUAAAUUACCAAUUAGUGUGGUGGAGAGUAGGACCCGCAGAUCUUGACUUGACUUUUGGUACAAUUGAGAUGAAUGGAUGGAUGAGAUUGUUGUGUGGAAUGGCCUGUUCUCAUCACAAUGUCCUAAUGUUCAAAAGCUCUAAGUACUAAACAAAAGGCAAGUUUACUAGCAUAAACCCCACCACUGACCCAGAAUGUAAUGCUGGGUGAGUCGGCUGUAAUGUCAGGGCUCCAGUUAUAGAAAUACAGAAGCCAUUAAACUACAGUGUGCCCAUAAAGCACGUUGGAAAAAAGUUCAAUAGAGAGGGGGGCUACAGGGUACAGUAUAAGAUGGCACCAAGUAAGGCUGUCGUGUAGCAAGCUCCCAUAUUCAGCAUUUACUGUGGACCUUGCUCACAAGUUUAUCACUCACAUUCAUGUUAAGUGAUGGGGCAAUAAAAGUGAUUUGACUUGACUUGAUAAGACUUCUUGUUCAAAAUUUCCAUUGACUCAUUAUGUGACCCUACAGAAGUCUUCCAUUUACAAGUUUAGAGCCGAUAACAUGUCAUUGCAUAUUCAUAUUCAAAGUAGGAGGCAACCACAUACAGCAGGGGUGUCAAACUCAGUUCCAGGAGGUCUACAUUGACUAUAGCCACUUUCUCCAUCAGUAGCCAGUUGCUGCUGCUAAUCAAACAGACUGCUUUGGGUUCAUUUUAACUGAUGUGCUUGUUAAGUCUCAGACCUCUUAAUUUUUUCUUUUAUUAUUGAUUAUCAGCUAAGAAAAAAAUGAAACUCAAAGUCAGCUAACUGAGAUCUAAAACAAGGACUUCAAAAUCCAAUUUUAUAAUCUGAAGCCAUUUCAUGUUACUUAGGAAACCUGUUAUUUAAAUUCCAUGGCUUGUUGGUUCAAGCAGGUCCUCCAUCUUGCAGGGAAAACUUGAACGUUGGUGGCUGGAUUUUCACUACAGUCACUGUAAAAAAACUCACACUUUUCCAUUCCAUUCAAACUAGUGCGGUUGCACAGCUACACUCAGGUCCUGAUUUGGGAUCCUGAGGUGGUUCGUCAUGUGGUGGGUGCAGCAGCAUGCUGUGCCAAUGCGUGAUACCCAACCUCUCUCUCCUCUCUCUUUCACCUGAUGGACACACAGUACAUGUACAUAUCAGAUCAGCUUGUCGUGUUGGCUCACUUUGCAUAUCAUUGAGUAUGCACAGAAAUCUGGUUUCUAAACCCUUAUUCUGAAUAUUUUGAGAAAUCAGGUUAACACAUGUAUAUUUUUCUGUCAGUAACCCGGCUAUUUGGCUGUGUAAACCUUUAACUGGGUUAAAGUUAAUGAUUUCUUAGUGUCUCUUUGCUUCACACAUGCUUUCUACUGGUAGAAGAUGGUCGAAGUGUCCGCAAGAUAAAUCUCCUGAGGCAAAUGCUUGGGCGAUUACAUUACUCCUUCUCCAGGUUGAAAUUUGUUGUUGUUCAAUGCCAUCCUUCUAUGGAUUGGUCGGUGGCUAUUUCACGCUCUCUCUGGGGCUAAUGAGAUGGUAGGCAUUCGACUCUUUCCACCACACAGAUAGCAAGCCAUUUCCUUGUUUGACCAGGUAUUAAACCUGCUAUUGGCUCUAGUUGGUUGUUGCCUACUCAAGAUGGUCCUCUGUCUAACAUAACACGAGACCUGCUGCUGCGCGAGUCUUCGCCACACUCAUUGGCUGACAUUUUCAGGAUUCCUGUUGAGCCUGUCCACCUUGUGUAGCACCCUAGGUGGUACGUUGGUUACUGCUAACCGCUGAUGGCAUAGCCCCAACAGACAAUCCCCUACUUAGUCAUUCACUCCUUCACCACACUAAGGUGAGAGUCGAUCUUUGAUGGAGCCUGAUUGAAAUUAUCUGUAUAAAUAUUUCAGAAAUCGCUAUAUAUACUCAUUCUAUUGAAGUAAAAAUACCAGCAUUAUUGUUAUGUCAGCAGUACUAGAAGCUGCUCCUUUGCAGGGUUCAAUUGUAUAGCCAAGCAGAACAGAGUGUGUUGCAUGCAGUCUGCUAAGAGAAACAUAUUAAUAAAGUGUCAGUUCUGCUUUAAUCCAGUUAUCUGCUAUAGAUAUGCUGAAAACACUGUGACUGGGUGAUGUAGUGGUUAGUGUCCAUAUUUCGGAUCUUCUGUUGUUCAGGUUAAGGAUGUAAAAAGGGGAUGGAUGUUAUUUACUUCACAGCACAUAAAGGACUAAACAUAUUAAUAAAACAUG